rnacentral:rRNA from 1 species
UACGAAGGGGGCUAGCGUUGCUCGGAAUCACUGGGCGUAAAGGGUGCGUAGGCGGGUUUUUAAGUCAGCGGUGAAAUCCUGGAGCUCAACUCCAGAACUGCCUUUGAUACUGAGAAUCUUGAGUACGGGAGAGGUGAGUGGAACUGCGAGUGUAGAGGUGAAAUUCGUAGAUAUUCGCAAGAACACCAGUGGCGAAGGCGGCUCACUGGCCCGUAACUGACGCUGAGGCACGAAAGCGUGGGGAGCAAACAGG